AUUGAACGCUGGCGGCAGGCUUAACACAUGCAAGUCGAGCGGGGUGAUGGUGCUUGCACUAUCACUUAGCGGCGGACGGGUGAGUAAUGCUUAGGAAUCUGCCUAUUAGUGGGGGACAACAUCUCGAAAGGGAUGCUAAUACCGCAUACGUCCUACGGGAGAAAGCAGGGGAUCACUUGUGACCUUGCGCUAAUAGAUGAGCCUAAGUCGGAUUAGCUAGUUGGUGGGGUAAAGGCCUACCAAGGCGACGAUCUGUAGCGGGUCUGAGAGGAUGAUCCGCCACACUGGGACUGAGACACGGACCAGACUCCUACGGGAGGCAGCAGUGGGGAAUAUUGGACAAUGGGGGGAACCCUGAUCCAGCCAUGCCGCGUGUGUGAAGAAGGCCUUAUGGUUGUAAAGCACUUUAAGCGAGGAGGAGGCUCUUUUGGCUAAUACCCAAGAUGAGUGGACGUUACUCGCAGAAUAAGCACCGUCUAACUCUGUGCCAGCCGCCGCGGUAA
rnacentral:rRNA from 1 species